AUUGAACGCUAGCGGGAUGCUUUACACAUGCAAGUCGAACGGCAGCGCGGACUUCGGUCUGGCGGCGAGUGGCGAACGGGUGAGUAAUUUAUCGGAACGUGCCCAGUAGCGGGGGAUAACUACGAGAAAGCGUAGCUAAUACCGCAUACGCCCUACGGGGGAAAGCAGGGGAUCGUAAGACCUUUCACUAUUGGAGCGGCCGAUGUCGGAUUAGCUAGUUGGUGAGGUAACGGCUCACCAAGGCGACGAGCCGUAGCUGGUUUGAGAGGACGACCAGCCACACUGGGACUGAGACACGGCCCAGACUCCUACGGGAGGCAGCAGUGGGGAAUUUUGGACAAUGGGGGCAACCCUGAUCCAGCCAUCCCGCGUGUGCGAAGAAGGCCUUCGGGUUGUAAAGCACUUUUGGCAGGAAAGAAACGUCGCGGGCUAAUACCCCGUGGAACUGACGGUACCUGAAGAAUAAGCACCGGCUAACUACGUG
rnacentral:rRNA from 1 species